UACAGAGGGUGCGAGCGUUGUCCGGAAUCACUGGGCGUAAAGGGCGCGUAGGCGGUCUGCUAAGCGUGUGGUGAAAGCUCGGGGCUCAACCCCGAGUCGGCCGUGCGAACUGGUGGACUGGAGCCGAUCAGAGGCAGGCGGAAUUCCGGGUGUAGCGGUGGAAUGCGUAGAGAUCCGGAAGAACACCGGUGGCGAAGGCGGCCUGCUGGGAUCGAGCUGACGCUGAGGCGCGACAGCGUGGGGGAGCAAACAGG
rnacentral:rRNA from 1 species